GUUAUUUUGUUUUUUUUUUGCCACACCAAAAAUAUUUUCGUCGCUUUAUAAUAUUAAUAUUGAACCACUGUACUCACAUGAACCGAUUUAAAUAUGUUCUAUAAUUUGUUGUCUUUAUCUUAUGUUAUGAUGCUGUUAUGUUUUGUACCAGGCCAUUUAUGGUUGUCAAGUUUAUAUUGUUCAAUAAUCUACAUUAUCUAGGUGGGGAAAAAGCAUUUUCUCCGUUGACGGCCAUUCAAAAUGAGCUAUAUCUGACGAAAUACAUUUCCAAGGCCUGAGAAAUGCUAGAUGUUUUGAUUUUUCCACAUCAACAGUUCAACCUAAUUUCAAUUUUAAACCCGGAAGACAAUGGGACAAACAGCACAUAAAAUACAAAGAAAGCUGGGAAGGCAUACUGAACAGCAGUGGGAAAGGAUUUGUUUACAAGGCUCCCAAAAUGUAGUGAAAUUUAGUCGAAGGAUUUAGUGGAAUAUAGUCUAUGGUGCAGCAGAGGGCAGAGUGAUGCAGAGAAUUGCUGUUGAAUGAAAAGGCAGCACUGACCUAGAUGCAUUGCUUUGCAGAAGGCCUUUAUUAACCCCCUGGAGCCAUGUU